UUUCUGCUGACUUCCACAUUGGUGACCUCGAACAUUUGAACAUGUUUUUUAACGAGAAAUCACCAGAUGCUGCUGCUGGUUCUCCGCCAGCUGUGGUUUCGGACCCAGUUUCUUGCCAGGCUGCCGUUACUCCAACCGCCGCUUCUGUUUUUGCUGCCAUCAUCAAGUUUCCAGACUUCUGGCAGCAUGAUCCAGAACCAUGGUUCCAGCAUGUGGAAGCCCAGUUCCAUCUCCAUGGGAUAACCACAGAUGAGACCAAGUACUUCCAUGUAGUUGCUGUGUUGGAUUCCGUUUGUGUUGGAUGCUGUGGCUGCGGUGGCGGAGCGACGGAAGGACGAUGUUCUCUGCUUCUACCAUCGCCGGUUCAGAGUGAAGGGGAUAGCUGCAUUCCUCCUUGUUCGUUCAUGUGUCAAGGAAACGACAAAGUCGGUGCUCUCUAACAGCUGUGUGUGCCGGCAGUUCGAACAAGCUGCUUUUCAUCAUGGAUGAAAGACCUCUUUCUGGACAGCGUUUCCUGGUGGACUUGGGUGCAUAGCGGACCAUCGUGCCAGUUUCGGCAGCAGACGUUUUGUGCAAGAUUAAUGGACCACUGGUGGACGCCGCUAAUGGCACCCCGAUUCGCACUUUUGGAUCGAGUUGCACAGAGGAUCACACCUGUCGACAACAAACAAAGGUUUAAGAACUUCUGAAUUUUCGGUCAGAAAUGAUCACUCCGCCUGGUUGAAGUACCUGUCUCCAUGUAUGCAUGUGUCAGAGAGGAAAC